CUUGCUCAGGGUCUUCCAGCUCUGGCUUGAUCUCCUCCUCUGGGUCUUCUUUUGGCUCCUCCUGUGGCUCUAGCUUUGGUUCUGGUUCAGGUUCGGGCUCGGGCCCAAUGCUUGUUGUCUCUUAUUCUAUAAAAUUAUGAUAUCCUCACAGUACCUUUUAAAAUCAAUCUUAUCACAAUCUUUUUCCAAAUAUAACCCGUAAUCCAUAUCCCUAACGAAGUAAGCCCGUCGCUCCAUUGAGGUCGCAUAGUGCUUAUAAGGUGGUAUAUCGAGAGGACUGUCCCCUCAUUAUAUCCGAACGAUCUUGCUCGCUCCCAUUUAGAAAGGAAAUUUUCAACAUGUUCAACAAAAGUUUGCUCCCAUCUUACUUCAUAAUUCAUGUAGUUCUCAAGGGCUAUUUCAGCACGCUAGAAGUAUGUUGGGUUAUUCCUAGUCAUCCUAAUCACGUGACAAGUAUAAUUUCAAUUACGUCUAAUAUUGCUUUAUCAAUAUUAUUUUAUUCUCAGUGCAUAAAUAAUAUUCUAGUAAAAUGAAAAAAAAAUGACAAAUAAAUUAUGCGAGGUGAACGUGCUUAUACAUUUCAUAACUUGUAGAAAUAUGAUUCAUAACCAUGCUAGAAAUUAAGAAUGAAAAUAAUUCAUUUCAUACCCGAGAUCAACUGCAAAGUAGUCGAAUGGUGAGCGCCACGUGCUAAGUGUUCUUAUAACAUUAUUUGUUUAAAAAAAUUACAUUAUCCUUUAAACUCCCUAUUUUCUUUUUCUUUUUUUUUUUUUAUAAAUGAUUUGACUAUAAUUAUUUAUGAAUUUCUUAGAAUAGAAAAAAUAAACAAAUAAAAGUUCCUAACAACAGUAGCAUCAUUUAAAAUCAUGUUAUAAACGGUUAUUU
rnacentral:lncRNA from 1 species